GAUCUAUUCUGAUACUACGUCAUAUACUAAAUGUGGAAUGAUACUGCGAAGAUUAGCAUAGCCCCUGUGCAAGGAUGACAUGUAAAUUCAUAAAAUGUUCCAUAUUAUU